AUUCAAACCUGUUUUCUCUGAAAUCUUUAUUAAAGUGCCUAAAAAUAUGAAAUGAGUGUAUAGGCUGUAUGUUUGCUUUUUGCUCAUGUUGCCAAAAGGCCUGGUUGAUGUAGAUAAAUUCUUUAGUAGUUAAGAAAAGGAUGACUCCUUUCAUUUCAAGCAUAUAUAGAAAGUACCCCCUAUUUAUUUAUUUACUUAUUUACUUAUUUUAAAAUUUGUUUAUUUAUUAUGAUAGAGACAGUGAGUAGGGAAGGGGCAGAGAGAGAGGGAGAGAGAGAAUCCCAAGCAGGCUGUGCUCUUCUCAGCACAAAUCCCAAUGCAGGGUUCCAUCCCAUGAACCAUGGGACCAUGACCCGAGCUGAAAUCAACAGUUGGAUGCUUAACUGACUGAGCCACCCAGGUGCCCCUUUACUUACUUAUUUAAAAUUUAUUUCCUACAGUUUUCUUGAGGUAUAAUUGACAUGUAAAAAAUUUCCCUAUUUUUUAGUCGAUAGUAGGGUCACUCUCCAUAUACGUAACGUGUCGCGUGUUUGUGAGGCACCGUACUUUAUCCAAAGUGGUUCAGAUCGAGGACACUCAAACUCAGAAUAGUUACAGUCACACAAUUUGCUAAGGGAAAGUUGGAAUUUGAAUCUGGUUAAGUCUGAGCUCAGAACCCUUGUUUAUUUCACUGUUGUUUAAGUUGAUCAUUGCCUAUAGAGCAUGUAGUGUGGUGAGAAAAAAAAACAACAAAUUCCUUCUACCUGUCUAGGUUUUUGACUAAUUAAAUUGAUAUAAGACAGAUUAACAGAAGAAAAACAAACAAAAGCUUAAUGAUAUGUAUGCUUCCUGUGUAUACAUGGGAGAGACCCAGGAACUCUGAGUAACUCCCUAAAAUGGCCAAAGCCAUCACCUUAAAUAUCAUGUUCAGCUAAAGACAAAAGAUGUUAGGAGUAGGGAGUCAAUUAUGGGAAGUUACCAAGAAAAGCAUAA